GACAGCAGUCGCCGCGGUAAUACGGAGGGUGCAAGCGUUAAUCGGAAUUACUGGGCGUAAAGGGCGCGUAGGUGGUUAUUUAAGUGAGAUGUGAGAGCCCCGGGCUUAACCUGGGAACUGCAUCUUAUACUGGGUAACUGGAGUGCAGUAGAGGGUAGUGGAAUUUCCGGUGUAGCGGUGAAAUGCGUAGAUAUCGGAAGGAACACCAGUGGCGAAGGCGGCUACCUGGACUGAGACUGACACUGAGGCGCGAGAGCGUGGGGAGCAAACAGGAUUAGAUACCCGAGUAGUCCCUGUCUCUUAUAC
rnacentral:rRNA from 1 species